AACCCCUAAUUUGAGUACAAGCCACACUCACAAAAUUAAAAUCGGCGUCCUUAAACAUUCUCCUACAGGCUCCAACGCCUCUGUUCUUCCGGAAAUGAGAUGAUCGACCAGUCAUCCAUCAUCGGGCUGCGGCGGCGUGCUAAUCCUUUAGGGUUUCUCCAAAUCUAAAAAUCGGUGGAGUAAAUCAAUAAAUGGAAGAUGAAGGCAGUGAAGAUCUGGACCUUGCUUAAAAUGAAUGUUGAAUUGCUAUACAUGAAUAUUCUAGGAAUCUUUUGUUAACAAUAUUCUGAAACUUACUAUCUUGAAAUGUAUUAAACUUAUGCACUUGGGAUAGAACAUUUUCUUUAUGAAUAUUAUUAGCUUGUCGGAGAAUUUAUAUUAUUAAUAGUUUCAUUUUGUGAUUUACUUAAA